UUUCUUUGUAGAAGCUUCUUCUCUCAUUUGAUCGCUCUUUCGUUUCAAUCGCUCUCUCCCUCUCACUCUCUCUCAGCUCAAUUCAUCAAUCAUCAUCUUCUUCGUCUCUCUCAGAUCGAUUCAUCAGCUCGCUAACAAUGGAUUCCACGCAGGUAAACCUGAGUUUCCAUGCUUAUACUACUCUUUCUCAUGAUUAUAAUCAUCGCUCUUAGUGUUGCGCCGUUGCGGACUCCGACUUCAUAGCCUGAGUUUGCUUAUUUUACUCUUUUGAUCAUCGAUCUUAGGUUUUGGUACUGGAAUUGCAAUUUUGCUGAUUUAGGAGUUAGGAUCAUAUCCAUCUAUGUCUCUGUAUCGUAGGUUGAAGAUAAUCAGAAGACUGGAUUUUCUCCUUCGGAAGGUCGCUGGAUCCUUCAGAGGAUAUCUGUGGUGAGUUGUUGUGUGCAUUUGUUGCUUUUACGAUUCACAAGAAUCACCUAAUUAAAGGAACGAAAUCUUUGAUUUGUUUUGUAGAAUGAUUACGAUUCCGUAAAGCUCUUUACUCAGAGUCUGGUUAGGAAGCUCCAAGAGAACGAGAAGGAGAGAUUGGUAUGACAUUUGGGAUAACCAAUGAUUUGAUUCAUUUGUGUUAAUCGGAAUCUGUGAUCUCAUCAUGUUGUGAUUUGGAAUCUGCAGUAUCAUAUUGUGAAUUGGAAUCUGCAGUAUCAUAUUGUGAAAUGGAAUCUGCUAUCUUAUGUUGUUUGUUCAGGUUAGCAACUUGGUUCGCUAUCCCACGCUUGGACGCAAAAUCAUAUACAGAAAGUGACUUCUUGCAAUCCAAAUACGCUCCAAGGGUCUUCUCAUAUCUUUACUGUCUUUUUGGAACUUCCGGAUCUUGAGAUGACAUGUGAGCUCUCUUCACAUUUUGGCUUCCUUUUUUACGGUUUUGCUUUGUUUCUAAAACUGGGGUUUGUGUGUGUAUCUUGAUGCCCUGAAUUAGAUGGAUUUGUGUCUCAAGAGUUAUGGUUACACUAGUUUCUAUUGCAUAACCUUUUCUACUUAAAACGUACAUGAAAUCAUGUAGCUCUCUGCUGCAAGAAACAGAACCAGUUUACCUUUGAAUUUUGCUGAAGACUUUAUU
rnacentral:lncRNA from 1 species